UACGUAGGGACCAAGCGUUGUUCGGAAUUACUGGGCGUAAAGGGCGCGUAGGCGGCGGGGUCAGUCGGGUGUGAAAUCUUGGGGCUUAACCCCGAAACGGCACUCGAAACUGCCCGGCUGGAGGGCCGGAGAGGAGAUCGGAAUUCACGGUGUAGCAGUGAAAUGCGUAGAGAUCGUGAGGAAGACCCGCGGCGAAGGCGGAUCUCUGGACGGCUAACUGACGCUGAGGCGCGAAGGCCAGGGGAGCAAACGGG
rnacentral:rRNA from 1 species